ACACACACAUUACGAACAUCAUGCAUUGUUCCUCCAUCCUUCUCUCUCCCUGUCUCUGUGUCGGAAGGCAGAUUGGGGCACAGGGCUGACACUACAGGGAACCCAUAGCGGAGAACUGCCAGUGAGCAGUUGGGAGCCCUUGUUGAAGUGCCGCUCCUCAAACACGGCAGGAGGAUCCUAGUUGAGUGACUAAGAGCGCCGUCCAUGUGACUGGAUAGGUGCUGCUAGGAUAGUGGCUUGGAUGGUGAUACUGUGGUAUGUAAGCCACUGCAGUGGUGAACAUGGUUGUUGUGUGAUUGUGUCAAUCAGAAGGGUAUUUGAUUGUAUGACUCUGUUUGUUUGUCGUUGGUACAGAUGCGCAGUUUGUGCUGAAGAGACUUGCUGCCAGUGCCAUUGACCUGUACGCCAUGGUGGUCGUCCUGUCUCAGUAUAAAUUAUUACACUGCUACACACAUACGCAAUCUCUGUCUCUGUACCUCAAACGUUCGUCAUCACACUGUGCGUGUUUGUUUGGUGGACUUCGGUUUAAACCAACCCCUCUGUUUCAGAGGUGUUGAGUUAAAUGUGGAAGACACAUUUUGAUUGAAUGCGUUCAGUUGUGCAACUGACUAGGUUAUCCCCUUUCCUUCUUUCCUCUCCCAGGGUGUCAUGUUCCCUGAGUCAGGGCUAUCCCUCUGCCCAGCAUGAGAAGAUGUUGUGUGACAGCUGGUAUUUUGAGAUGUGCAGGCCCGUGAGAGGAUUAUGCAGAACAUCAAGACUCUGCGCACCCGCAAUGCCGAGCAGAUCUUCAAGAACCUGAGGGCCAUCUCUACAGUUGUGGAGGAAAACGGAGGAGCGGUCUCCCCUCUGGCUCUGGGCUUCUAAAUGCCCCCUCUCAUCCCUGUUCUUAGCUCUCCCUCCUCUCUUUAUUGCCUCUCCCUCCCUACUCUUUACAUCUCCCCUUUCCACUCACUCUUUAACUACAGCCACACUCUGAUUCUCUUACAUUCCGACCUCCACCUCUGACCUCCUUCUCAAACUUUCACCUCUGCUCUGUGCAUUUUAUAUCCGUUAUAUCAUCCUCCAUAUAGUGCCAAGGGACUGAAUAUGACACCCGAUUCCAUCCUGAGAAAUGUAUACUUGUUUUUAUUAAUUGGCCAACGCAAUGACAGUACUGUCAAUGUGUCUCGAAUCUGUAAUCCAAUUCUGGAACUUGAGGUUGGAGCUCCUAAAUGCACCAUGAAUGUUAAAGCUCAUAUGUAUGUGACUGUCCGCAUCGCCAGUAAGCUGAAUGUGUUAACUUGUGUUUAUAGAAUUAUUUAAGUCAAUGAGACACAGAGACUUUAAGCAUUCCUCCCAUAGCCGUUCUAUGGAUAAUUUAAAAUGAAGGCUAUUUUGUUUAGAUACAUUGAUGUAUUGAAAGCUGGGCUUCUAUGUGUAUCUUCAUGCCUUUUUGUGUGAUUAGUUAGUCCUGCUUAGUUUCAGUCCAUAUUAAUUCAUACGGUGCAUGCAACAACUUAACCCGUUAGGUUAUAAAAUCUUUGCUUUGGAAACAAAUCGCAAAAUGCUGUGCAGUACCUCUUUGUGACUUGAUUUUGAGAAAGAACUACACGUUAGCUAGAAAUUCAAAUGACUUUCAUAGUUUCUUAAACAGGAAAUGUUUUCUGUAGAGUUAAUGUGCUGGUAAUGUCAUUCCUUCACAUCUACCAUUACUAUGACCAAAGUUCAGCCGUUUCCUCAGCUAAAAUUAUUAUUAGCUCAAUAAACUGUAAUAGGGUCUAAUCAAAUCAAAGUGUAUUUGUCA